rnacentral:rRNA from 1 species
UACGUAGGGGGCAAGCGUUGUCCGGAAUCAUUGGGCGUAAAGAGCGCGUAGGCGGCCCUGUAAGUCCGCUGUGAAAGUCAAGGGCUCAACCCUUGGAUGCCGGUGGAUACUGCAGAGCUAGAGUCCGGAAGAGGCGAGUGGAAUUCCUGGUGUAGCGGUGAAAUGCGCAGAUAUCAGGAGGAACACCGAUGGCGAAGGCAGAUCUCUGGGCCGUAACUGACGCUGAGGAGCGAAAGCAUGGGGAGCGAACAGG